rnacentral:rRNA from 1 species
UGGGGAAUUUUUCGCAAUGGGGGAAACCCUGACGAAGCAACGCCGCGUGGAGGAUGAAGGCCUUCGGGUCGUAAACUCCUGUCGACUGGGAAGAAUGCACCUGACCUAAUACGUCAAAGUGUUGACUGUACCGGUGGAGGAAGCCACGGCUAACUCUGUGCCAGCAGCCGCGGUAAUACAGAGGUGGCAAGCGUUGUUCGGAAUUACUGGGCGUAAAGGGCGCGUAGGCGGCCCGUCAAGUCCCGUGUGAAAGCCCCCGGCUCAACCGGGGAACGGCGCGGGAAACUAGCAGGCUUGAGUUCGGGAGAGGGAAGCGGAAUUCCGGGUGUAGCGGUGAAAUGCGCAGAUAUCCGGAGGAACACCGGUGGCGAAGGCGGCUUCCUGGACCGACACUGACGCUGAGGCGCGAAAGCUAGGGGAGCAAACGGG